rnacentral:rRNA from 1 species
UACGGAGUGUGCAAGCGUUACUCGGAAUCACUGGGCAUAAAGGGCGCGUAGGCGGCCAUCUAAGUCAGACGUGAAAUCCCCCGGCUUAACCUGGGAACUGCGUCUGAUACUGGAAGGCUUGAGUAUGGGAGAGGGAUGUAGAAUUCCAGGUGUAGCGGUGAAAUGCGUAGAUAUCUGGAGGAAUACCGGUGGCGAAGGCGGCAUCCUGGACCAUUACUGACGCUGAGGCGCGAAAGCUAGGGGAGCAAACGGG